CCUACGGGAGGCAGCAGUGGGGAAUAUUGGACAAUGGGGGGAACCCUGAUCCAGCGACGCCGCGUGAGGGAAGAAGUAUUUCGGUAUGUAAAGCUCUAUCAGCAGGGAAGAAAAUGACGGUACCUGACUAAGGAGCCCCGGCUAACUACGUGCCGGCAGCCGCGGUAAUGCGUAGGGGGCCAGCGUUAUCCGGAUUUACUGGGUGUAAAGGGGGCGUAGACGGUGCAGCAAGUCUGAUGGGAAAGGUCGGGGGCCAACCCCGGGACUGCAUUGGAAACUGUUGAACUGGAGUACAGGAGAGGUAAGCGGAAUUCCUAGUGUAGCGGUGAAAUGCGUAGAUAUUAGGAGGAACACCAGUGGCGAAGGCGGCUUACUGGACUGUAACUGACGUUGAGGCUCGAAAGCGUGGGGAGCAAACAGGAUUAGAUACCCUGGUAGUC
rnacentral:rRNA from 1 species